AGAGUUGAUCAUGGCUCAGAUUGGAACGCUGGCGGGAUGCUUUACACAUGCAAGUCGAACGCGCAAUGGAUCAUCUUGGUGGCGGAGUGACGAACGUGGUGAGUAAUGUAUCGGAACGCCUAGUAGCGGGGGAUAACUACGCGAAAGUGUAGCUAAUACCGCAUACGCCCUUCGGGGGAAAGCGGGGACCUUCGGGCCUCGCACUAUUAGAGCGGCCGAUAUCGGAUUAGCUAGUUGGUGGGGUAACGGCUCACCACAGCGACGAUCCGUAGCUGGUUUGAGGACGACCAGCCACACUGGGACUGAGACACGGCUCCAGACUCCUACGGGAGGCAGCAGUGGGGAAUUAUGGGGACAGUCGGGGGGAAACCCCGAUCCAGCCAUCCCGCGUGUGCGAUGAAGGCCUUCGAAGAAAAGCACUUCUUUUGGCAGGAAAGAAACGGCACGGGAUAAUACCCCCGUGCGCAACUGACGGUACCUGCAGAAUAAGCACCGGCUAACUACGUGCCAGCAGCCGCGGUAAUACGUAGGUGCAAGCGUUAAUCGGAAUUACUGGGCGUAAAGGGCGCAGGUGGUUCGGAAAGAAAGAUGUGAAAUCCCAGAGCUUAACUUGAACCGCAUUUUUAACUACCGAGCUAGAGUGUGUCAGAGGGAGGUGGAAUUCCGCGUGUAGCAGCAAAGUUUCAUAGAUAUGGAGAACACCGAUGGCGAAAAGCUCCUCCUGGAUAACACUGACGCUCAUGCACGAAAGGUGGGAGCAAACAUAUAUUAGAUACCCUGUAGUCCAGUCGCAAAUGAUGUCAUUUAACUUAGCUGUUGGGGCCUUCGCUUCCGGUAGCGCAGCUAACGCGGAAGUUGGACCGCCUGGGGAGUACGGUCGCAAGAUUAAAACUCAAAGGAAUUGACGGGACCUCGCACAAGCGGUGGAUGAUGUGGAUUAAUUCGAUGCAACGCGAAAACCUUACCUACCCUUGACAUGUCUGGAAUCCCGGAAGAGAUUUGGGAGUGCUCGCAAGAGAACCAACACAGGUGUUGCAGCUAUUGCUGCCAGCUCGUGUCGUGAGAUGUUGGGUUAAGUCCCGCAACGAGCGCAAACCUUUGUCAUUAGUUGCUACGAAAGGGCACUCUAAUGAGACUGCCGGUGACAAACCGAGGAAGGUGGGGAUGACGUCAAGUCCAUGGCCCUUAUGGGUAGGGCUUCACACGUCACACAAUGGUCGGGACAGAGGGUCGCCAACCCGCGAGGGGGAGCCAAUCCCAGAAACCCGAUCGUAGUCCGGAUCGCAGUCUGCAACUCGACUGCGUGAAGUCAACUGCUAGUAAUCGCGGAUCAGCAUGUCGCGGUGAAUACGUUCCCGGGUCUUGUACACACUGCCCGUCACACCAUGGGAGUGGGUUUUACCAGAAGUAGUUAGCCUAACCGUAAGGAGGGCGAUUACCACGGUAGGAUUCAUGAUCAGGGUGAAGUCGUAACAAGGUAG
rnacentral:rRNA from 1 species